GUAAAGUUUGCGGCCUCGUCACGUGACCCUGACAGGUCCUGCCUAUUGAGAGCCAGACCACCCACGUGGAGAACGAUGGAGCUGCUUAAUAGGAACAGGCGUGUAAUUGUGCGUGUUUCUAGCACUGCGCGGAACGCCGGCAGCUCACGAGGGUUGUUGUUCUACACUGCCAGGUCCUCCGUGGUGAAAAAAAAGGUGAAGGAGAAAGAGGAGGAGGAGGAGGGGGAAAAGAAGAGAGAGAAGCAAAGAAAAAAAGGAGAAAAAAAAAAAAGGAAAGGAAGGAAGGAAGGAAGGAAAGAAGGAAGGAAGAAAGAAAGGAAGGAAGGAACAAACGAAAGGAGGGAAGGAGGGAGGGAGGGAGAGAAGGAGGGAAGGAAGGAAAAAAGGAAGAAGGAAAGGAAGGAAGGAAGGAAGGAAAAAAGGAAGGAAGGACGGAAGGAAGGAAGGAAGGAAAGAAAAGAGGUGAGAGAAAAUCCAAUAGAGUGACAGAGAACGAAGGAGACAGAGAAGACAGUAAGAGAGAGAAGGAAAGGAGGAAAAAUAAUAAGAGGGAAAAAAAAAAAGGAAGAAAGUAGGAAAAAAAAAAGAAUUAGAAGGAGGAGGGAAAAAGAAAGAAAAGGGUAAAAAGGAAAUGAAAGGAAAGAAGAAGAAAUAAAACGAGGAAAAAAAAAACAAACAAAAAACAAAAAACGAGAAAAGGAUAAAAGGCAAAAGGAAGAAAGAUUGAAAAAGAGGAGCAGAGGACGCGAGCCCUGAUGCCCCGCCACAGUCGUCAGCAACAGUGAAUGAGGUCGCACCCGGCCUCGCUAAGAGGCUCCCCACCGGCUCCGGCAGUCAUGGAUCGAAUGGCAGAGAUCAUGGCAAUGCCCUGCCUCCUUCCAGGGCUCGGGCCGCGUCUCGACACCGCGCCUUGCGGUCCGAAACGGACAAAAACUGCUCCGCGUAAGUCUCCACACGCACUGCAGCCCCGCAUUCAGCAGAGCGCUGUGGCAGAGCCUGGGGCUGUUCCGAGGACAAUUUGGGUUCGCAAGACUCAGGCGAACCCAAAGCGGGGCGGGAUCCAGGGACGCCCCCAGGCCUGGGGGCUCCCACAACUCCCCCUCCUCCCGGAGGAUGGAAGAGCGCAGAACCCCGCAGCUGCGGAGGCACAAUGCCCACAGCAGUCCGCGGAGGAGAAUGCCCGCGCUACUGGGCCGGUGCUGCAGAUCCCUCAUUUGCUCCUUUGUGGCGUGCAGAGCGGCUUUCCAUUAAAGGAGAUCAGGGGUAAUUAGCCGCAUUAUUUUGACAAGUUGGCUUGAGCAGCGCCUUUCUUGCCGAGCUGGGGAGGGGCAAUGGGGCUGCUUCGCGCCGCCGGCUCCGUCCGCGCGCGGGGCCCUUCGGGCGGCCCUGGGUUGCGGGUGGGGCGCGGGGCUGAGCAAUGCCCGGCUUGCCGUGGCAGAGCAGGCGCGGGGCGUCCGCGGGAGAUAGAAAUUAUGGGGAUGCCCGGUGAGCGCAGCAGGGCAGGGCCUCGUCCCAGCGUCGGUUUUGUAUCGAGGCAGCCGAAUGCUGCGAUAGCAAGGCGCUCCGGGUGCUGUGUCCGCAGGCGGAGGGCAGCCUGGCAAAUGAGUUAAAAUUAAAUCAGCAUGUUACCCGGCAAGCUAUCGGGUUUGGUCUCACCGGCUGCGGGGAGCGCAGUGUGCAGGGCUGCGGCGGACACGAAGGGGACAAAGUCUGAACCACGAAGUGGCUAGCCCGGGGUACACUGCCCUGUUGCCAGAUAGGAGAGCUCAAUCCCUACUCCCAAGUCCUUGGCUCAGCACAGGCACGGGGUGAGGACCCGCAAGAUCCCUGCGGUUGCGUGAGGACACAGAGCUGCGGGCGCGGAGGGCAGUUGCACGCCGCGGGCCUCGUGCAUCACAGAUUUACCGUGGGGCUGGGCUUGGGAACGGCGUUAUCGCGGGGAAUGCAGCACGCAGGCAUCAGCCGUAAGGCAGCCACGGCCUUGACCACCCACGUGGAGACUCUUACACUGACACUUCUUCCGCAAGGGAAAAAAAAAAAAAAAAAAAAAGUGCAGAAACAAGGCCAAUUAGAUCCCUGUAGUAAUUCACCUCUUGCGUAUGCGUAAAAAAUAAAAAUCCCUCCAGACCACA
ensembl:lncRNA